rnacentral:rRNA from 1 species
UCCUACGGGAGGCAGCAGUGGGGAAUAUUGGACAAUGGGCGCAAGCCUGAUCCAGCAAUGCCGCGUGGGUGAAGAAGGUCUUCGGAUCGUAAAGCCCUUUCGGCGGGGACGAUGAUGACGGUACCCGCAGAAGAAGCCCCGGCUAACUUCGUGCCAGCAGCCGCGGUAAUACGAAGGGGGCUAGCGUUACUCGGAAUUACUGGGCGUAAAGGGCGCGUAGGCGGCGCACCAAGCUAGGCGUGAAAGUCCUGGGCUCAACCUGGGAACUGCGCUUGAUACUGGUGUGCUUGAGGAUGGAAGAGGGUUGUGGAAUUCCCAGUGUAGAGGUGAAAUUCGUAGAUAUUGGGAAGAACACCGGUGGCGAAGGCGGCAACCUGGUCCAUUACUGACGCUGAGGCGCGACAGCGUGGGGAGCAAACAGGAUUAGAUACCCUGGUAGUCC